GGUUAAGCGACUAAGCGUACACGGUGGAUGCCCUGGCAGUCAGAGGCGAUGAAGGACGUGCUAAUCUGCGAAAAGCGUCGGUAAGGUGAUAUGAACCGUUAUAACCGGCGAUGUCCGAAUGGGGAAACCCAGUGCAAUUCGUUGCACUAUCGUUAACUGAAUACAUAGGUUAACGAGGCGAACCGGGGGAACUGAAACAUCUAAGUACCCCGAGGAAAAGAAAUCAACCGAGAUUCCCCCAGUAGCGGCGAGCGAACGGGGAGCAGCCCAGAGUCUGAAUCAGCUUGUGUGUUAGUGGAACGGUCUGGAAAGUCCGACGGUACAGGGUGAUAGUCCCGUACACCAAAAUGCACAGGUUGUGAACUCGAAGAGUAGGGCGGGACACGUGGUAUCCUGUCUGAAUAUGGGGGGACCAUCCUCCAAGGCUAAAUACUCCUGACUGACCGAUAGUGAACCAGUACCGUGAGGGAAAGGCGAAAAGAACCCCGGCGAGGGGAGUGAAAAAGAACCUGAAACCGUGUACGUACAAGCAGUGGGAGCACCUUCGGGUGUGACUGCGUACCUUUUGUAUAAUGGGUCAGCGACUUAUAUUCUGUAGCAAGGUUAACCGUAUAGGGGAGCCGCAGGGAAACCGAGUCUUAACUGGGCGUUAAGUUGCAGGGUAUAGACCCGAAACCCGGUGAUCUAGCCAUGGGCAGGUUGAAGGUUGGGUAACACUAACUGGAGGACCGAACCGACUAAUGUUGAAAAAUUAGCGGAUGACUUGUGGCUGGGGGUGAAAGGCCAAUCAAACCGGGAGAUAGCUGGUUCUCCCCGAAAGCUAUUUAGGUAGCGCCUCGUGAACUCAUCUUCGGGGGUAGAGCACUGUUUCGGCUAGGGGGUCAUCCCGACUUACCAACCCGAUGCAAACUACGAAUACCGAAGAAUGUUAUCACGGGAGACACACGGCGGGUGCUAACGUCCGUCGUGAAGAGGGAAACAACCCAGACCGCCAGCUAAGGUCCCAAAGUCAUGGUUAAGUGGGAAACGAUGUGGGAAGGCACAGACAGCCAGGAUGUUGGCUUAGAAGCAGCCAUCAUUUAAAGAAAGCGUAAUAGCUCACUGGUCGAGUCGGCCUGCGCGGAAGAUGUAACGGGGCUAAACCAUGCACCGAAGCUGCGGCAGCGACACUAUGUGUUGUUGGGUAGGGGAGCGUUCUGUAAGCCUGCGAAGGUGACCUGUGAGGGUUGCUGGAGGUAUCAGAAGUGCGAAUGCUGACAUAAGUAACGAUAAAGCGGGUGAAAAGCCCGCUCGCCGGAAGACCAAGGGUUCCUGUCCAACGUUAAUCGGGGCAGGGUGAGUCGACCCCUAAGGCGAGGCCGAAAGGCGUAGUCGAUGGGAAACAGGUUAAUAUUCCUGUACUUGGUGUUACUGCGAAGGGGGGACGGAGAAGGCUAUGUUAGCCGGGCGACGGUUGUCCCGGUUUAAGCAUGUAGGCUGGUUGUCCAGGCAAAUCCGGAUAAUCAAGGCUGAGGUGUGAUGACGAGGCACUACGGUGCUGAAGUAACAAAUGCCCUGCUUCCAGGAAAAGCCUCUAAGCAUCAGGUAACAUCAAAUCGUACCCCAAACCGACACAGGUGGUCAGGUAGAGAAUACCAAGGCGCUUGAGAGAACUCGGGUGAAGGAACUAGGCAAAAUGGUGCCGUAACUUCGGGAGAAGGCACGCUGGUGUGUAGGUGAAGUCCCUGCGGAUGGAGCUGAGACCAGUCGAAGAUACCAGCUGGCUGCAACUGUUUAUUAAAAACACAGCACUGUGCAAACACGAAAGUGGACGUAUACGGUGUGACGCCUGCCCGGUGCCGGAAGGUUAAUUGAUGGGGUUAUCCGUAAGGAGAAGCUCUUGAUCGAAGCCCCGGUAAACGGCGGCCGUAACUAUAACGGUCCUAAGGUAGCGAAAUUCCUUGUCGGGUAAGUUCCGACCUGCACGAAUGGCGUAAUGAUGGCCAGGCUGUCUCCACCCGAGACUCAGUGAAAUUGAACUCGCUGUGAAGAUGCAGUGUACCCGCGGCAAGACGGAAAGACCCCGUGAACCUUUACUAUAGCUUGACACUGAACAUUGAGCCUUGAUGUGUAGGAUAGGUGGGAGGCUUUGAAGCGUGGACGCCAGUCUGCGUGGAGCCAACCUUGAAAUACCACCCUUUAAUGUUUGAUGUUCUAACGUUGGCCCCUUACCGGGGUUGCGGACAGUGUCUGGUGGGUAGUUUGACUGGGGCGGUCUCCUCCCAAAGCGUAACGGAGGAGCACGAAGGUUAGCUAAUCCUGGUCGGACAUCAGGAGGUUAGUGCAAUGGCAUAAGCUAGCUUGACUGCGAGCGUGACGGCGCGAGCAGGUGCGAAAGCAGGUCAUAGUGAUCCGGUGGUUCUGAAUGGAAGGGCCAUCGCUCAACGGAUAAAAGGUACUCCGGGGAUAACAGGCUGAUACCGCCCAAGAGUUCAUAUCGACGGCGGUGUUUGGCACCUCGAUGUCGGCUCAUCACAUCCUGGGGCUGAAGUAGGUCCCAAGGGUAUGGCUGUUCGCCAUUUAAAGUGGUACGCGAGCUGGGUUUAGAACGUCGUGAGACAGUUCGGUCCCUAUCUGCCGUGGGCGCUGGAGAAUUGAGGGGGGCUGCUCCUAGUACGAGAGGACCGGAGUGGACGCAUCACUGGUGUUCGGGUUGUCAUGCCAAUGGCACUGCCCGGUAGCUAAAUGCGGAAGAGAUAAGUGCUGAAAGCAUCUAAGCACGAAACUUGCCCCGAGAUGAGUUCUCCCUAAGACUUUAAGUCUCCUGAAGGAACGUUGAAGACGACGACGUUGAUAGGCCGGGUGUGUAAGCGCAGCGAUGCGUUGAGCUAACCGGUACUAAUGAACCGUGAGGCUUAACCUU
rnacentral:rRNA from 1 species